rnacentral:rRNA from 1 species
UACGUAGGGUGCAAGCGUUAAUCGGAAUUACUGGGCGUAAAGCGCACGUAGUCGGCUUUGCAAGCCGGUUGUGAGAUCCCCGGGCUCAACCUGGGAACUGCAUCCGGGACUGCAUUGCUAGAGUAUGGGAGAGGGAAGCGGAAUUUCUGGUGUAGCAGUGAAAUGCGUAGAUAUCAGAAGGAACAUCAGUGGCGAAGGCGGCUUCCUGGACCAAUACUGACGAUCAGGUGCGAAAGCGUGGGGAGCGAACAGG